CAGCCACCGGUGCACCAACACAGCAUGAAAGAAGAGAUGAUAAGCUUCAAGAGUGGCAUGGUACCAUACAAAUUCAAUGGGCUGCACCUCAAUUGUAUGGGGACACAAGCUCUAUGGAUUUCCAUCCCCAGGAAUAUCACUGCAAAAAACAGUAUCUCUGGACCUGGGGCAGUGUAUACUGAGACGCCAAGUGUUUAAGUUGUAUCUGUCCGUAUAAUGUGUAUAAAUAAAUAUUGUGUAUGUGAA